rnacentral:rRNA from 1 species
UACGUAGGGGGCUAGCGUUGUCCGGAAUCAUUGGGCGUAAAGCGCGCGUAGGCGGCCCGGUAAGUCCGCUGUAAAAGUCCAGGGCUCAACCCUGGAAAGCCGGUGGAUACUGUCGGGCUCGAGUCCGGAAGAGGCGAGUGGAAUUCCUGGUGUAGCGGUGGAAUGCGCAGAUAUCAGGAGGAACACCGAUAGCGAAGGCAGCUCGCUGGGACGUUACUGACGCUGAGACGCGAAAGCGUGGGGAGCAAACAGG